AGAGAAUAGAUACCCAGGUAGUCCACGCUGUAAACGAUGUUCACUCGCUGUUUGCGAUACACAGUAAAGCGGCUGAGCGAAAGCAUUAAGUGAACCACCUGGGGAGUACGAUCGCAAGGUUGAAACUCAAAGGAAUUGACGGGGGCCCGCACAAGCGGAGGAACAUGUGGUUUAAUUCGAUGAUACGCGAGGAACCUUACCUGGGCUUAAAUGUAGAUUGCAUUUUCGGGUAAACCGGAAUUCCCUUCGGGGUCGUAUUUACAAGGUGCUGCAUGGUUGUCGUCAGCUCGUGCCGUGAGGUGUCGGGUUAAGUCCCAUAACGAGCGCAACCCCUAUCGUUAGUUGCCAGCGGAUAAUGCCGGGGGACUCUAGCGAGACUGCCACCGUAAGGUGAGAGGAAGGUGGGGAUGACGUCAAAUCAGCACGGCCCUUAUGUCCAGGGCUACACACGUGUUACAAUGGCCGAUACAAAGGGCAGCUACCAGGUGACUGGAUGCUAAUCUCUAAAGU
rnacentral:rRNA from 1 species